AAGGGAUCUUCUUCACUGAAAGAGCAUCACAUAGAAGGGAGCUUGAGAACAUUAGAAAGCUUUCCGUCCUUGCAGCAGCUGCUGCUGCCUAACUUGGCAUUACAGUAAAGUGGUCUCUCAACCUAUCCUGCACUGACCAAGUUUGCUAGAACUACUACAUGAGAAUGCUGACAUGCUCCUUUGAUGUGCGAGGGAAAGUCUCUGCAGUCAGCAGGCAGAGGUACUGCAGAGGAAUCCUUACUACAAGGAAGCAGCUGAGAUACAGUAUUGUUCAAACUGGUACCCAGACCAUCAUUGAACCAUCAACACAUCCUGAGUCACAGCUUCCAUAAAACAUACACCAAGACCAUCAAGACUUUCAAGAACACCAUAGACCAAAAAUAUGUGUUCAAAGGAAUUACUGCAUGAUGAAACCAAUAUAUUCCAUUUUGUUUGUCUCUAUAUAUUACUCCAGACAAGCUCCUUUAUUAUCCAGCUUAAUACUUGGAACUUUUUAAUUUAAGUAACAUAUUAAAUUGUAUGAAAUAUAAAAUACACAAAUGGACCUGACGAGGUCUCUGUUGGGUGUACACAGGUGAAUGAAGCCCAUACAGAGGGAGCAUAAGAUAUUGAGCAAACUGGGAAAUAUACAGGUUGGUUUAUUAACCAGCGAUGGGCAAAUUUGCCUACAGGCAGUAACCAAUGGCAACCAAUCAAACUGGUGCAUUUAUAGUUCUACCUGCAGCUGACUGAUAAAAGACAAUUGGUGGCUGUAGGUUAACGCCCAUGGGCCCAUGAGCAUUGUAUCCUAUGUGCAUCUCUCAAAAAAAUAAAUUAUUUUUGUUUUA